UACAGAGGGGGCAAGCGUUAUUCGGAAUUAUUGGGCGUAAAGGGCGCGUAGGCGGCCUGGCAAGUGGAAGGUGAAAUCCCUCGGCUUAACCGAGGAACUGCCCUCCAAACUGCUUGGCUUGAGUCCGGGAGAGGUGAGUGGAAUUCCCAGUGUAGCGGUGAAAUGCGUAGAUAUCAGGAGGAACACCGAUGGCGAAGGCAGGUCUCUGGGCCGAUACUGACGCUGAGGAGCGAAAGCGUGGGGAGCGAACAGG
rnacentral:rRNA from 1 species